rnacentral:rRNA from 1 species
AGUAGAGUGGCGCACGGCCCCUAGUAACGCGUAGGUAAUCUACCCUUAUAUUUGGGAUAACAGAGCGAAAGGUCUGCUAAUACCGGAUACCCUUUGGAGUGCCUUGGUAUUUUGGAGGAAAGGUGGCCUCUGAUUCAAGCUACCGUAUAGGGAUGAGCCUGCGUACCAUUAGCUAGUUGGUGGGGUAAUGGCCUACCAAGGCGACGAUGGUUAGCGGGUCUGAGAGGAUGAUCCGCCACACUGGAACUGGAACACGGACCAGACUCCUACGGGAGGCAGCAGUGAGGAAUAUUGCGCAAUGGGGGCAACCCUGACGCAGCGACGCCGCGUGAGUGAGGAAGGUCUUCGGAUCGUAAAGCUCUGUCAGGUGGGAAGAAAUGCUAGAUGGUUAAUAACCAUGUAGUUUGACGGUACCACCAGAGGAAGCACCGGCUAACUCCGUGCCAGCAGCCGCGGUAAUACGGAGGGUGCGAGCGUUGUUCGGAAUUACUGGGCGUAAAGGGCGCGUAGGCGGCGUGUUAAGUCAGUUGUGAAAGUCCACGGCUCAACCGUGGAAGUGCAUCUGAAACUGGCAUGCUUGAGUAUGGGAGAGGAAAGUGGAAUUCCUGGUGUAGAGGUGAAAUUCGUAGAUAUCAGGAGGAACACCGGUGGCGAAGGCGACUUUCUGGACCAAUACUGACGCUGA